AUUGAACGCUGGCGGCAUGCCUUACACGUGCAAGUCGAACGGCAGCAUGGGUGCUUGCACCUGGUGGCGAGUGGCGAACGGGUGAGUAAUACAUCGGAACGUACCUUAUCGUGGGGGAUAACGCAGCGAAAGCUGUGCUAAUACCGCAUACGCCCUGAGGGGGAAAGCGGGGGAUCGCAAGACCUCGCGCGAUUAGAGCGGCCGAUGCCUGAUUAGCUAGUUGGUGGGGUAAAAGCCCACCAAGGCGACGAUCAGUAGCUGGUCUGAGAGGACGAUCAGCCACACUGGGACUGAGACACGGCCCAGACUCCUGCGGGAGGCAGCAGUGGGGAAUUUUGGACAAUGGGGGCAACCCUGAUCCAGCAAUGCCGCGUGAGUGAAGAAGGCCUUCGGGUUGUAAAGCUCUUUUGUCAGGGAAGAAACACCGGCUCUAACACAGUCCGGGAAUGACGGUACCUGAAGAAUAAGCACCGGCUAACUACGUGCCAGCAGCCGCAGUAA
rnacentral:rRNA from 1 species